rnacentral:rRNA from 1 species
GAUGAACGCUGGCGGCGUGCCUAAUACAUGCAAGUCGAGCGAAUGGAUUAAGAGCUUGCUCUUAUGAAGUUAGCGGCGGACGGGUGAGUAACACGUGGGUAACCUGCCCAUAAGACUGGGAUAACUCCGGGAAACCGGGGCUAAUACCGGAUAACAUUUUGAACCGCAUGGUUCGAAAUUGAAAGGCGGCUUCGGCUGUUACUUAUGGAUGGACCCGCGUCGCAUUAGCUAGUUGGUGAGGUAACGGCUCACCAAGGCAACGAUGCGUAGCCGACCUGGGAGGGUGAUCGGCCACACUGGGACUGAGACACGGCCCAGACUCCUACGGGAGGCAGCAGUAGGGAAUCUUCCGCAAUGGACGAAAGUCUGACGGAGCAACACCGCGUGAGUGAUGAAGGCUUUCGGGUCGUAAAACUCUGUUGUUAGGGAAGAACAAGUGCUAGUUGAAUAAGCUGGCACCUUGACGGUACCUAACCAGAAAGCCACGGCUAACUACGUGCCAGCCGCCGCAGUAA